CUUCAUCGACCAAUUGCGGACAGAUAAAGUGUAUGUGGGUGUCGAUUCCACCUGCCGUGAUAAUGAGCUUUUCUCCGGCGAUGACUUCUGUCGACGAUCCAAUGACGAGAGUGGGGUGGAUGUUUGACAUUACAUCGGGAUUUCCUGCCUUUCCGAUGCCGCAUAUGAAACCGUUCUUAACACCAAUAUCUGCCUGUAUCGAGCUCACCAAUCCAUACUGUAGGACCUUAAACUAAAAGGCUUACCUUGUAAAUUCCCGACCAGUCUACAAUGAGUGCGUUGGUGAUUACAAGGUCAAGAGUUUCGUUCGAUGAACGAUUUGUAGCCUGACCCAUGCCCUCUCGAAUG
rnacentral:sRNA from 1 species